rnacentral:rRNA from 1 species
ACUCCUACGGGAGGCAGCAGUGGGGAAUUUUGGACAAUGGGGGCAACCCUGAUCCAGCCAUGCCGCGUGAGUGAAGAAGGCCUUCGGGUUGUAAAGCUCUUUCGGCGGGGAAGAAAUGGCAACGGCUAAUAUCCGUUGUUGAUGACGGUACCCGCAUAAGAAGCACCGGCUAACUACGUGCCAGCAGCCGCGGUAAUACGUAGGGUGCGAGCGUUAAUCGGAAUUACUGGGCGUAAAGCGUGCGCAGGCGGUUUCGUAAGACAGACGUGAAAUCCCCGGGCUCAACCUGGGAACUGCGUUUGUGACUGCGAGGCUAGAGUACGGCAGAGGGGGGUAGAAUUCCACGUGUAGCAGUGAAAUGCGUAGAGAUGUGGAGGAAUACCGAUGGCGAAGGCAGCCCCUGGGUUAGUACUGACGCUCAUGCACGAAAGCGUGGGGAGCAAA